rnacentral:lncRNA from 1 species
GAAAUCAGCUACUACUCCUGGAGAAGUAAGAUUACAUGGGCAUCAGGAAUUCACUAUAUGAUGACUAUUAGUACUAACUUAAAAUCUGACAUGAUGAUCAUAAUCUCCUUAUAUGUUUCUGCAUUCAAAAAUUGAAUUAAAAAUCUCUUCUAAGGUUUUAUAGGUUCAACCAAGACAUUUCUCCUCUAGUUCUAUUUUGUUUAGAAGGAAUAUGAUUCCUUAGAGACAAAUUCUCCUACCCUGCAGGUUUUUAUGAACUGAUUAUAUCACCUGGGACUGGUUACAAGUGACACACUGAUCUGGUCAACUUAGCUUAAAGUGGAGCUUACAUCUGAAGCACCAGGCUUGAAAAGGACAAUUUGCAGAGCAGCAGGAAUCAGGAAUCUUGGAAGAACACUGCUGCAGGGCAGAAAGCUGGAUUUCCCUGAAUCCUCUUCUCUCUUCUAACCCUGAAGCUGGGUUAGAGUUCACCAAUGAGGACAGAUCAGAAAGAAGAGGUGGGGCCAUUAUUUACUCUCUAAGGAGGUGCUU